ensembl:lncRNA
UUUUUUUUCUUUUCUUUUUUGUAACUGUAGUGCUUCCUUGAUUUGAUCUAUGCACUGUAAGGAGGUCGAUACCUCCUCCGCUCCCCUUGUGACUCUGAACUCUGCCAUGCCGACUAUCCUGGACUCCGCUACUGGCUGCCGCAGGCUCUGUUUGAUCCGCGUCGACUGACUAAGACCCCGACUAUGUCCUGGAAAAAAUGACACCUCUAAAUUCCAUAAGUUGACGGCACGUGACGAACUCUGGGCUUUGAAGGGCAGUUUUGAGGCGGCGCCUAACCAACAUUCCUGACGCAGCCAGUAGCGACCUCCGAAGUGGGGGGGGGGGGGGGGGGGUAAAGGGUGAGAGCCUCCAAACCUGCCAAAUGUACGGCGGCACCGAACCCUUCACACAGCCGGGGAGGGAGCGAAAGAAACCGAAGCGAAACCUGAAGAGCAGCCGACCGGCUUCUCGUCCAGGAGGUCCUGCACCAGCUGAGCGUCUCUACCUCACGUCCAUCCGAUCCCCGAAACCCCCCCACAGAAAAGCCCCUCCUCUGGGCGAGGGUUCUGAGGGGGGGGGGGGGGGGGAGGGGGGCUAUGGGUAGUUCGGGAGGGUUUGGUGUUUGACCCCCCCCCCUCCCCCCGUGAGGGCAAUAACCUCCUGUCUUUCUCUGACUCUUUGCUCCGCUUGCCUCGACGGUUUUGUAGCGUGUCCGUUUCUUGGAGUCUCGACCGUGUGUCCUUGUGUAUCUGAGUGUGUCGUCUUUGUCUCGUGUUUGAGUCGGACGCCGCUGACGCUUGCAGGUCGGUCGGGCGAGGAGGGGAGGGGAGGGGGGUCGAGCGGUGGCUCAGUUGGGGGUAUGUCCUUGAGUGCGCUUGCAGGGGGAUAGGGGUCCCCUCUUUUGCCGUUCUUCUUCAGGGACACGCGCCAUUCCUCCGGGUUCCCCUCGUCCUCCUCCCCUGGCCGGGAUAUUUCAAGGGAAAACGCAGCUCGUCCUUUUUUCCAACUCUUACGGCUUUCCGUCGCUGGUGGGUUCGAGGCCUUGUUUCCGGGUCGUCCCUGGAGCCCCGCUGAGCUCUCUGAUAAGCCUCUCCCUGUCCUCCUUCCCCCUUUCUCUAUCUAAUCAACUCCUCGGUAACACACACAAAAAUUUGAAUGUUUACAUCACUCGAUUCUCCUUUGACUUUAUUAGAAACGCACACUUCGUACAAAGGCGCCUUAUUCAGUGUUUUAAAAAAAAAAAAAAACUGCAAGUGAAGUUACUUAGCGUUACUUCUCCAGGCUCACCGAUGUCCAAAACUAACAAAAACAAUUUAGUGCUAUACAUACUGAUUGAGGAAUAAGUUGUCAACUUCUAAAAAAAGAAAGGGAAAAAAAAACACAUUUUAACAAUUAAUCUCUGAAUGAGUAUUUGUGCUUAGUAUGUAUACGACUAAAAAGUGAGAGAAUGUGCUGGUUUACAUAUAAAAAAAGAAAAUAUAAUAUAUGAAUAUAAAAUGUGUACAUAGCACUAUGCCUCGUUGUAAACAUAAAAUGUGAGUUUAUUUUUUUUCAAGUGGCCGGUCAUAGUUGAUUGCUAAUCAGACCGCAGAUCCGAUUAGUUUAUUUCAAAUUAGUCAAUGUUUUUUCAGUGCAGGGAGGAAAUUAAGGGAAAAAGUUGAAAUGACUUCAAAGUCCGACACUGGUGUAAAAGAAAGACACAAGUAUCCCUUUAGACUAUCACACUAGAAGGUUGUUUGAUUUACCCUUAAUGAAAUGACUAUAUAUUUUUUUAUGUUUUUAUUUUACGUUUUCUUUGAAAUGCAAUAUAUAAUAAUCUUAUCUUGAAGACAGCCUUUACGGAAAAACGGAGGUAAUAAUGUACAGCGGUUGUACCACACGGGCGAUCUUUGAGGCCACUUUACCGCGUGUCAACUCAAAAAAUCAUGAAAACAAACUACAGGAAGAAUGUGGUGAUUUUGCGCCGUAAACACAUAACACGUGUGCUAAGAACAAAUGAUAACAUACUCUUGCACAGAUAACGUCCCAAGUAGUGAAAUAUCUUCACAGUUUUAUCAUUGAGAGGAAGCCAUUGUAACUAUGUUAUUACCACUUUUUGAUGGUACACAGGUUUGUUCAAAUCUGAGUUGCAUUGAACACUUACUUUUCUGACCGUUAAAAGCCAAUAACUGUACAUGUAUGACUGGUGAAGGAAUGUGGGGGGGGGGGGAAAGUGAGUUGUUGCUGGUUUUACCCAAGUUUCACUCUAGCGGACACCGAUGGGGUCGACACUGUGGAAAUCCCAGUCCCACUGCUGCACCUCCACCUCGCCCUAAAAGCCAUUAAGCAUCUUUCCAUCAAAUGUAAGUUACAAAGCCGAUUUGUGGUACAAAAUGGCUGGAACGCAAAGUUUGUGUCGGCAGGACUGUGGCGUACCGAAGCAGGCUUGAUAAAGGCAGCCCGGAUUAUUUGGGAUCACGAAAACCACACUGGGACAAAAAGUAAUUUUACCUUGAAGCUGGAAGUCGACCAAUUAAAAACAAUCCUUCAAACUGGUGGUUGCGAUACAGCUGUUGUUACCGAAAAGGGUUUUCAGUCCGCUAAAAACAAGUUUUGUGCGUGGCAGACUGAUCUACUUUAGCCUUUUAUUAUUUCCACGUGCAAUCCAAAAAUCGGAUUAGAGGGAACCUUAAACUAGAAGCAUGUGCUGGGAUUUCUGCAGUGGUGAGUGCCUCCAUUGUUCGAGAGGUGAUUGACAGUGAAACACCCCCUUUUUCCAUCAUGCCAAGCUUUAAAAAAUCAUCUUGGGGUGAGAGGGGGGGGGGGGGGGACUAAGCUACCACUAGCUUUCAUUAUUACCGUUUCAACUCCUUUCCAAUCCAAUGUGGUUUAUUAUUAAAUAAUUACUGACGUAAUUAAAACUUUUUUCAAUAGCCAUAUUAUAAUAAAAAGCUAUAUACAUAUAUAUGAAUAUAUAUAUAUUUGUGUGUUUGUGUAGAUAUCUAGAUUAUUAUAUACUUUCUUAUAGAAAACUUUGGUGUUGACCAUUCUCCUCGUUGUUUUGAGAACACGUUGACACAUUAAACACGAUGCUACUGUCCGACCUGGACAACUAAUCCAAAAAAUACAAAAAAAAAAAAACAUCCUUCCAAAGGGAAUUACCCUCGUCAGAAUGCAAUACCUUUCUUCCCAUUCUUCAUUUCAGAAUAAGAAUGGACAAUGGCAAGAAAACCACAAAACUUGAUGGGCAAGUUGACCAAAAAAAUAAAACUCCAACAAUAAAGAGCGCGGCUCGUUUUCCGACCGACCGCCUCGAGUCCAGUUUUAUAGACGUUGUCGUUUUCGAUGCCAUUGGCCCACGAAGGAAAAACCCAGUUCUUUGUGUUUAUCUGUUUUAGUUUUUGGAAAACAAUGUAUCCGUCGGCUAGCUACACCGUUACAUUCAGCCCCUACCGGGAACGGAGUGCUUGCAAACACCGGCCUCAGAUUCCACUUCCACGUCUGCUCGGCAACAGUUGUACCACACACACAAAACAACGGGCCACACGUCGAACUCGAUAGCAACACUGAUGUCAAAUAGGCACUUAAUAGGGACUGCAAACUGUCAAAGUGGGUGUUUUCUUCUUCUUUUUGUGGAAGACAUUUUUUUGACAUAAAGGGCAUACGUUGCUUUCUGUAGUUUUUCAUUUCAAUUGAUUUUAUUGUCUCUUUACAUCUAAUGACUAUCAAAUUCACAUAAUGUUUUUUCUUUUUUAACUUAGUUUUUGGUAAAAACAAAAAGGUAAAUACUGCUAGUGAGAUUUUAUAUUUUUACAUAUGUUGGUUUUAUUUUGCGUUUCUUUUUUUAUUUAUAUGCCAUUUAGUUUGGUCUUUCAAUGGUGUUUUUUUUCUCUCCUUUUUGUGUGAUUUAAUAUGUCUUGAGAAUGUGGAGACAAAGGCAUUUCAGUAUUUUUGAAUUGUUAAAAUCUAGUUUCA